rnacentral:lncRNA from 1 species
GGGUGAAAGACAUUCACUACACCAGAGGAGACAAAGGAAGCACGUUGCUGUUAUUGCUGUUCAUGGCCUUCUUCCAACAGUAAGGGAAGCUAGUUUGAAGAUAAACUGUACAAAGGAAAGUAAAACAAGAGAAGUGCAGCGAAAUGGUGCCGGAGCCGUGAUGCAGCUACAACCUAGAGUUCUCACAAUCUCUUAAUUUCCUGCUGUCGGCGAUAAAUGUGAUCAUUUUGGCCGAUUUGGUUCAGUUUUUCUGUUCCGUGAAGCUGAAAGCAUCCUGACACAGGUAGCUGGACAGUACUGGACCCAUCACAAUUUCAAUACUGGGAAGAGAAAAGCCAGUCCUCUGGGGAAAGAUGAAGCACUGGACCUACAAACUAACUACUUUCAACCCCUGGAUGAAUCUAGGAGCAGAUUAGUCCCGAUAUCAAGGCAAUGUCAAGAGUGAAGGGGAGGAUCAAGAUUUUUUUUGAGUGAUUGUUUCCUGGAAGGAGAAAAAAAAAUAACAAGAAAAUGACCAUGGAAAGUAACAACAACUGAAAACGGAUAAAAUGAAGAUGUGUGAAAGAGCACAAGAGUGCAAAACCAAAAGUAUACAAGGAGUGUUUAUGCAGUAACCACUUUAGAAUGCCUUUCCUCAUGUUUGAAGACUUCUAAACUAGGGCAAGGACAGAUCCCAGCAACUACUGGAAGCAUAAUAAAGGAGAAGAAUGAGGCAUUUUCUUCUCUCAUAUACAGAUUAUAUGUAAUUAGGAUGCUAAGGAUAAUUUUGUAACAUAAAAACGGAGAUGCUAAGGAGAAUGGUUUCACCCUAGUUUAUAGAAGGAGGGUAUACUAUGGUCUAUCAAAGACUGAAAAUUGUCCUCUGCUAAUAAAGUCUCAAAUCAGGGCAAUUGGAUUUCUUUCUUUUUUUUUUUUUAUUAUACUUUAAGUUUUAGGGUACAUGUGCACAAUGUGAAGGUUUGUUACAUAUGUAUACAUGUUCCAUGUUGGUGUGCUGCACCCAUUAACUCAUCAUUUACAUUAGGUAUAUCUCCUAAUGCUAUCCCUCCCCACUCUCCCAGCCCCACAACAGGUCCUGGUGUGUGAUGUUCUCCUUCCUGUGUCCAUGUGUUCAAUUCCCACCUAUGAGUUGAGUUAGAGUUACUAGUCUCAAAUAAAUGCUUGGUAAUGCCAUACAAUCUAAACAUGUUGUCACUGUCAACUCACUAUCUCAUAUUCUGCAAUGAUACCCUUCUAUAUUCUGAAAUUCCUUCCCCAUUCUCAGCAGAUAGCCUCAGAUCAUAUAUCAUACACACAAUUGAACAUAUCACAUAGAAAUUUCAUCAGCUCACUGCCUCCAAUCCAAUGAACCUAACAUCUACUAACAUCAACACCAUCCAGGAAACCAUGACCUCACCAGAUGAACUAAAUAAGGCACCAGGGAAAAAUACCAGUGAAACAGAGACAUGUGACCUUUCAGACAGAUAAUUCAAAAUAGCUGUGUUGAGGAAACUCAAAUUCAAGAUGAUACAGAGAAGGAAUUCAGAAUUAGAUAAAUUUAACAAAGAGAUUGAAAUAAUUAAGAAUCAAGCAGAAAUUCUGGAGCUGAAAAACGCAACUGGCGUAUUGAGAAAUGCACCAGAGUCUCUUAAUAGCAGAACUGAUCAAGCAGAAGAAUGAAUUAGUGAUGUUGAAGACAGACUAUUGGAAAUGCACAGUCAGAAGAGAAAAAAGAAAAAACAAUGAAGCACGCCUACAGGAUCUAAAAAAUAGCCCCCAAAGGGCAAAUCUAAGAGUUACUGGCCUUAAAGAGGGGGGGCUCAACACCCAAGUACAAAAAGGUUAGAGAACACCAAGUAGAUUUAAUCUAAAGAAGACUACCUUGAAUCGUUUAACAAUUAAACUCCCAAAGGUCAAGGAUAAAGAAAGGAUACUAAAAGAACCAAGAGAAAAGAAACAAGUAACAUACACUAGAGCUCCAGUACACCUGGUAGCAGACUUUUCAGUGGAAACCUUACACACCAGGAGAGUGACAUGGCAUAUUUAAAGUGCUAAAGGGUGGAAAAAAAGCCUUUUACCCUGGA